GACCGAGUAGCUCAGUUGGAAGAGCAUUGGGCUAGUAUUCCAAAGGUCGUAGGUUCGAAUCCCACCGUGGCCG